AGCUCCAAUAGCGUAUAUUUAAGUUGUUGCAGUUAAAAAGCUCGUAGUUGGAUUUCGGUCAAGCCCCGUAGGUCUGCCCUCACGGGUGUGUACUUGCGUGGUUUGGCUUAUAGCCGAGAGAGGCUUUGCACUUGAUUGUGUGAAGGUUGUCUCGGUGCAGAUACUUUGAGUAAAGGUUCGUGUUCCAAGCAGGCUUUCGCCUUGAUAUUUGCAGCAUGGGAUAUCGAGAAAGGACUUCGGUCCUAUCUUGUUGGUUCUCGGGAUCGAAGUAAUGGUUAACAGGGAUAGUUGGGGGCAUUCGUAUUUAACUGUCAGAGGUGAAAUUCUUGGAUUUGUUAAAGACGAACGACUGCGAAAGCAUUUGCCAAGGAUGUUUUCA
rnacentral:rRNA from 1 species